AUUUGGUACAGGAGAAGUAGACGAAGGCUGCAAGUCCUGCAGACCACAGCUCAGACAUGUUUUCCACUCUGUUUUGGCGCAUUUUGAAUUGUCUGUUGCCACCAAAGCCUGAUCGUGAGUACUGAAAUGACUGACGGCCUUACUGUCCUCUCCUCACUGACCAAGAAACGAGAUUCCUUUGCUUCCAGCUCUUGGUGGAUUCCCAGAUCUCCCCCACAAAGCUAAGGACAAAAACCCUGAAAUUUAUAACCAAGGUUUAAGUGCCCUCCUUUCAGAGCACAAGCAAUGGCUUAUCAAGCCUCCUGAUACCCUGGGAUAACACCAUGUGCUGUUUGAGAUCAACUCCUGACUUCCUGCAUGUUAGCAAGCUCCCCACCAGCCGAACUGUAUCAGCAGCCCCAAGCUCCUUCCUUUCUCUUGGGCACUUAGGUGACUUCUGGUUUCCAGAUGGAGGAUUACUAAGACAUGCUCCUAGGUGGCAUUUAGACUAACUGUGUGGUAUACAAUCAAUUGAUAUGGGAAAAGAAAGAGAACGAAGAGCUGGGUGUGGUGGUGCAUAUCGGUGUACACCGAGAAUCCCAGUACUUGAGAGGAUCAGGAGUCCAAAGCCACCUGUGAAUACAUAGACUCACUGUGGACUGAGCCCUCCCAUAUCCAUCAGUAAUCAAGAAGAUGGCCCACAGACUUGCCC
rnacentral:lncRNA from 1 species